CCGAGGCGGCGGGAGCCCGGCCUGGCGGGUCCGCCCGACCGCGUCGUCCUGCGGGGCAGGCCUUGCAGGUGUGAGCGGGGUUUUCCUGUCAGACGGACUAACGGUCGGGAAUGUGGUUCUUGGGUUACCGCAUCCUGAGGGCGAGAAAACAUAGGCCCCUGAAGGGACAUUUUGAGGCGAAUGCCGCCGAAUAAAUGAAGAAAGUGCGGAAGUGGGGAGUCAGCGCUUUGGACCUGCCGGGAUAAUGAGGGCUUUGGGUGCCAGUUCCGCACGGGCGGCGGAGAUAGCCGCAGGGUUUCCAGUCACCGCCUGCGCGACUUCCAGAAGAGAUGUCUUCACUUCACAGGCGUCGCCCUGUGACACACAGCCAACGUCGUGUGCCCCGGAUGCCAUGCACGGGGACGCCCAGGUCAUACUCUUGCCGAAAGCAUGUGAUUUAGCUUACCCGUGAGGAAACAGAGAAACUUGCCUUCUGCAAGUCCUCAAAAACACCAGUCUCUUGAAAAAUUAAGGAAAGGCUAAAGGAGACAAGCAAGAUAACACUAAAAGCAAUGUGUGAUCCUAAAUGACCAAUGAAGGCCAUCGUUGAGAAAAUUUCUAUGUAAACCACGUUCGUGUUGUGAAAAAAUAAUUUCUCAAUUUCUUGAGGGCAAUGGGUUAUGCAGAAAUGGCCUUGUUUUUAAGAGAAAUGUGUUUGGAAGUGAAAUAUCUUAUGUCUGCAACUAACUCUCAAAUGAUCCAGAAAAAAAGUGACAAAAUGUUAACGCUGGUCAUUCUAGCUGAAAGACACAUGUGUUCAUUGCACUGUUCUUGAACCUUUAUGGACUCCAAAAUUGUGAUGAGGCCUGGGGAUCCCCUGCUUUGAAGAGGAGGAAGCAUAAGCAAAUCCCUGGUCCACUCCCAGGAGCAGCAGAGCAGAGACAACAGUGGUGAAAGCAUUGAGUUGGACCUGCAUGGGGUUUGGAGGCUUCUUGGAAAUGAUCUUUGGAAAAGUUCAGCUGGACCAGCAGGGAAUGACUUCCAGAGCAAAGAGGCUUUUGGUGCAGCAGUUGAAUUGCCACUUUAUGACACCCUCAUCCCUCAUCCUAUGUUGGAGUGCCUGGCUUCCAGCCCCAGCUCUGCCUCUGAUUCCAGCUUCCUUCUAAUGCACAUCCUGGGAGGCAGCAAGAUGGCUUAAGUAAUUAGGUCCUUGCCACCCAUGUGGGAGACCUGGGUUGAGUUCCAGUUUUCUGGCUUUGACAUGCCCCAACUCUGGCUGUUAUGGGCAUUUGAGGAAUGAGCCUGCAGAUGUGACAGCUUGCUUGCUCUCUUUGGCUGUCUCACAUAGAAUAAAAAAAAUGUUUAAAGAGAUCUUUGGAGUAACCUGGACAAAUAUACUAAUUAAAAAAAAAAGAGAUGGAUUUCAUACCCCACAGUUUCAUAUUUAUAGAUUUAUAGUUUUUAUAGAUGUAUAGUUUUCAUAAUUAUAGAUUUCUAUUUAAUAGCUCGAACAAUUUAUAAUAGCAAAAAAUGGAAA